rnacentral:piRNA from 1 species
AACUGCCCGGGCCAGCAAG